rnacentral:rRNA from 1 species
CAUAUCAAUAAGCGGAGGAAAAGAAACCAACAGGGAUUGCCCUAGUAACGGCGAGUGAAGCGGCAACAGCUCAAAUUUGAAAUCUGGCUCUUUUAGGGUCCGAGUUGUAAUUUGCAGAGGGCGCUUUGGCGUUGGCAGCGGUCCAAGUUCUUUGGAACAGGACGUCACAGAGGGUGAGAAUCCCGUACGUGGUCGCUAGCCUUCGCCGUGUAAAGCCCCUUCGACGAGUCGAGUUGUUUGGGAAUGCAGCUCUAAAUGGGAGGUAAAUUUCUUCUAAAGCUAAAUACUGGCCAGAGACCGAUAGCGCACAAGUAGAGUGAUCGAAAGAUGAAAAGCACUUUGGAAAGAGAGUCAAAUAGCACGUGAAAUUGUUGAAAGGGAAGCGCUUGCAGCCAGACUUGCCUGUAGUUGCUUAUCCGGACUUUUGUCCGGUGCACUCUUCUGCGGGCAGGCCAGCAUCAGUCUAGGCGGUUGGAUAAAGGUCUCUGUCAUGUACCUCUCUUCGGGGAGGCCUUAUAGGGGAGACGACAUGCAACCAGCCUGGACUGAGGUCCGCGCAUCUGCUAGGAUGCUGGCGUAAUGGCUGUAAGCGGCCCGUCUUGAAACACGGACCAAGGAGUCUAACAUCUAUGCAAGUGUUUGGGUGUCAAGCCCAGACGCGUAAUGAAAGUGAACGGAGGUGGGAACCCUUUGGGUGCACCAUCGACCGAUCCUGAUGUCUUCGGAUGGAUUUGAGUAAGAGCAUGGCUGUUGGGACCCGAAAGAUGGUGAACUAUGCUUGAAUAGGGUGAAGCCAGAGGAAACUCUGGUGGAGGCUCGCAGCGGUUCUGACGUGCAAAUCGAUCGUCAAAUUUGGGCAUAGGGGCGAAAGACUAAUCGAAC